GCUUCACUUUCAGCAGGCAGCAUAUACUAAAAUUGGAACGAACAAGAGAAGAUUACGCAAUGGCCCGCGCAAGAAUGACCAUUGCAUAAUUCCGUGAAGCCGUUCCAUAUUAA
rnacentral:snRNA from 1 species